rnacentral:lncRNA from 1 species
UAAAUAGGCACCGCGAGAAAGGUGUUGAGAGGACAGAGCGAUCGGUAACUAUAAACAAGUACAAACAGUGCACACAGAUACAAACAACUGUCUGUUUUUGUUGUCCCUUCAACAGAAAAUACAAAAGAAAUUUGGAUGCUUUUUAAGAAGGGAAGGCCUGAGAGAAAGAGAGACUCAGAAAGAGCAGGAAAAUCUUGAUUCUGACCAUCACCGUCCAGAGAGGUGACAGCCCGAAACACCCAGGGGCUGCUCGUGGGAGGGUGCCCGGUCCCUCCCCAGCUCUGCCACCGCCCGCCGGCAGCUGAGUUAAAGCUUCUGCAAGGACAAAAAUAAAUACUGCUCUUCAACAGGAUUCUCACACCGUUUAUGCGAUUUCCCAUCCCCUGGCUGGUCCCUGGGGGCAGGACACCGCCUGGAAACCAUCUCGGGUUGCAGAGGUUCCGCGGAGGACCCUUGGAUCUGAGCCUGAGAGGCACAGGUUGC